CAGAGAUAAAUCCCAGUGACCCUGAAGCAGCACCCCGACGUUCCGCUCCCAGCAGCCACACCCACCGGGCCCUCUCCGGCGUCUGCUUUCCACAAUGCAGCCCCCGCCCAGGAGGGCCCAUGUGCUUACCCUGUUUUGCCCAUGAAGAAACAGCUCAGUGUUGCGGGUCAGUGCCCACAUCACACAGCAUCUAGCACGUAACUGCACCCCGGGAGUCGUGGGCAUCUGCUGGCCUCCUGCCGGCCUCCUGCCCUGCUGACAGCUUGCUGUGCCCCCUGCCUGCCCCAGUACGAGCGGGCCCUGGACGUGGCGGCAGAGCCCAAGCACGAGCGGCAGCGCCGAGCCCAGAUACGCAAGAACAUCACGGAGACUCUGGUGUCCCUGAGGGUCCACACUGUGGAUGACAUCCAGCAGAUCGCUGCUGCGCUGGCCCAGUGCAUGGGGCCCAGCAGGGAGCUCGUAUGCCGCUCGUGCCUGAAGCAGACGCUGCACAAGCUGGAGGCCAUGAUGCGCAUCCUGCAGGCAGAGACCACCGCGGGCACCGUGACGCCCACCGCCAUCGGAGACAGCAUCCUCAACAUCACAG
rnacentral:lncRNA from 1 species